rnacentral:lncRNA from 1 species
UAUGGACACAUGUGAAUUUAUAAAUGAUUUAUAUGGCGCAGAGAGAAGAAAACUUGAUAGCGUGUAACCAAUAUAGCAAAAGACUUGCAAGGAUUGUGUUAGCUUGAUAACAGGUACCUUUUCAAUACCAUUCCUCUCUGAUGUAUAACAAUGUUACAUGGUAAAUAAAGAAAAAGCUGUCUGUUUUGCUAUUCUUGAGUGUUCAGUCUAAAUUCAGUGUUAUCAUCGUUGACUUGUUCAAUUGUUAUGUUGGUACCUGAAAAUUGCCCCAUGCGAACUUUGAUUCAUUUUCAAACGAACCAAGGACUAUAAUGGUUUCGUCCAGACCAGUUUGUACGGAAAUAGACGAUUUAGUAUUGUUGGCUCUGCGUUUUGCUUUCUGAAAGUCUGAUAAGCACUAGAAAUAGAGAAUUUGCCUUUAAUAUCAUAUUUUUAUCUUACUAUUGGUAGUGACUAAUACAUUUGGUGCAUUAUAACUUAUAUAAAUUCUUACUAAGACGCCUAUUUACAAGUACACCAUUACUCAGAGUUACUUUGUACAAACAACAUUGUAAAAGGGACCUAAGGGGUUAUGAUCAUUCCCCAAUUACAAAUAACAGAAACAAAGUGAUAAUUCCUAUUCUGCAAGUGUCACCUGCCCAGUAUCACACUGGUGCUUUGAUGUCAUUAAUUGUCCUAUUCAGAUCGAUGUUAAUCUUCCCAAAUUGCUUGUUCUAAAAAAAAAGUACCCUUCCGAGUUCUGAGUAAAUGUUGAUUGGAAAACUAUACAAUAUUCCUGAGCUGCAGAAGACGUUUCACGCACAACUCAUGACAUAUAUGGUCCCUUUGUUAGGAUUGAUUCUUUGCUUCUUCUUAUUUUAUGUUUUUUACCUUUGUAAUUUCGCUUUAUACAGAUAAAUUAUACAUUUGUUUCAAUCCAUUCUUUAUGUUAUUUCUGAAUGAUCUUGCUGGAUAUUGAAAUGCAGAUCUACUACUGUAAUGAUUUGCCACAAGAGCUCUAAAUUAUAUGGAACUGUCUCCAUAUCUGACGUCAUUCCAACUACUGGUUUGGGAUGUACUCACCUUUGGUUGCAAAGUGCAGUUCCUCUUGGGUUAGUAAUCCUUGUUUUUUUUUUUUUUUUUUUUUCUUUUCCUUUUUUUCUUGGGAUCAUUGUUAGAUGGUAUGGAGGAUAAUAUUUCUCUUUAGAUAUAUCAGACAUGUUCUUUCUCAAUCCACCACGCUACGGUCAAGCUUGAGUUGGUCCCUUUUACUAAUAGUUUAUUAAUUACUCUUUAUACUUGGAUGUUAAUAUUAAGGAGAAAAGUGUGUGCUAAUUCCUCAACUGUUUGUUUGUUUAUGUUUCCAUAAUGUAUCCUUGUUGUAUGCUCUAAGGAAGAACUUUAGAUGAAACACUUUCAACUAAAUUAGCAGGUCACUUCUCUGCUAUUCCUAGAGAAAAUACUAAUUUAAUGUUGUACUCAAAUUAACAGGUCUGGCCUAUAACCCAGAGCACUCACUGAAGAUUUAUGCGACUUCUAGAACAAUGUUUGUGGCAAAUCCAACUACUGCACUCACAGGGUUGUCCAUCCAUGUUUCCUUUCUCCCUUUGGACGCAAAUAUUAUUCAUGCCCAGUUUAAUUCAUCCCUACAAAGGUUGAUGAGUCACGUUGUUUUUUUUUUCUUUUUUGGUAUAGGAAACACAUCGAAUGGAAAUAAGAGACCCAACUAAUUGUAGGGGAGGUAUAUAGAGUCCAGUCAGGUAUUUAUUUUUUCGUUGACAAAAAUACUCAAUUUUUUUUUUUUUUUUUUUUGAUAUAUUCCUACAAACAUGUUACUAGCAGUUCUCUUAUUGCUUAAAAACUUCCAUCUUUGAUUUUGCAGGUUCACUUUUAACCGAGCAUAUGAAAUAGAGCUAGCGAAUCCAACUACUUUGUGUGUUUGUAACUCCCAUCAUAUAGAGUCGACAAAAUUCGUGAAAACGUUCUGGCCAUGGUAUUUGAAGUUUGAAAUUUAAAUUUAAAUCCCUUGAAUAAGUGUAUACCUUCAAUUAACCUUUUACUUGUACUAUGUUAAAUACAUAUGAAAAUCCCAUUUCCUAUGUAUGGAACAAGAUUAUAUAAGUUUAAAGUUGUCGACUUGAGUUGCAGUGCAUGCCAUUUUUAUUUUUUGUUACUAUUAUUGCAUGGUCCCAGAUAUGGUACUAGUUAUUGUG